rnacentral:rRNA from 1 species
AAAGCCGGGGACCUUCGGGCCUGGCGCGAUUGGAUGAGCCCACGUCGGAUUAGCUAGUUGGCGGGUAAAGCCCACCAAGGCGACGAUCCGUAGCUGGUCUGAGAGGAUGAUCAGCCACACUGGAACUGAGACACGGUCCAGACUCCUACGGGAGGCAGCAGUAGGGAAUAUUGGACAAUGGGCGCAAGCCUGAUCCAGCCAUGCCGCGUGAGUGAAGAAGGCCCUCGGGUUGUAAAGCUCUUUUGUCCGGAAAGAAAAGCGCCGGGUUAAUACCCUGGUGUCCUGACGGUACCGGAAGAAUAAGCACCGGCUAACUUCGUG